GUCUGGGCCUGGGUCUUUGCGGGCGAGAUGAGAAGUUUCCUGCCUUCAACUGGCCUACAAAGUCCCAGUCCUCGGC
rfam:Anolis carolinensis unplaced genomic scaffold chrTn0006, whole genome shotgun sequence.